rnacentral:rRNA from 1 species
CGCCUGGGAAUAGAGGAAGCGAACCGGAGCGUAGGAAAAAGAGGAGGCGACGAGAGAAGAAAAAAGAUAAAACCGGUACCGCGGCUCACGGACAGGGGAGUGGUGGCGUAAACCUCGAGUGGCAGCAAUUUCCUAGGCUGGCGGAUGUCGGUGCUCUGGAGGGAGGGGGUGACUAUAGACAAAAACUGACCUGCACUACCACGUUUGGCUGUUGACACCGCUCGGCCUCCGCCCUGCACUACCACGUUUGGCUGUUGACACCGCUCGGCCUCCGCCCCAAUGGGAUGCUACGAUGUUAUUACCGCGGGCGUGUGACUUAGACUAGUUAGACUAAAUAAAAAUCUCAACGUAAGUACCACUUAGCACGACCUUGGUUACCACCAGGACUACGUUAGGUCUGCCGGGGCUCCCGCCCUGGAGUGAUCUCGAGUAGCCCGUGCCAGUGCCCCCGUGCUGGAGUGGCCUCGAACAGCCCGUGCCGGUGUUGCUGCUGUUCCUCUCCCUCACCUCCACACGUGCACCCCCUCGAACACUUAGGGGAACAAAAAAAGAGCGCUCCUUCUGUUGUGUCUA